rnacentral:tRNA from 1 species
CAAACUAGAGCUUGUUUAAAGCGUUUUAUUUACAUUAAAAAGUUAUCUGUUAAAGUCAGUUUAGUUUGA